rnacentral:rRNA from 1 species
UACGGAGGGUGCAAGCGUUAUCCGGAUUUACUGGGUUUAAAGGGUGCGUAGGCGGGUUGAUAAGUCAGGGGUGAAACCUCCGAGCUUAACUCGGAAACUGCCCUUGAUACUAUCAGUCUUGAAUUCAGUUGAGGUGGGCGGAAUGUGUCGUGUAGCGGUGAAAUGCUUAGAUAUGACACAGAACACCAAUUGCGAAGGCAGCUCGCUAAACUGACAUUGACGCUGAGGCACGAAAGCGUGGGGAGCAAACAGG